UUGACCUCAAAUCGGGUGAGACUACCCGCUGAACUUAAGCAUAUCAAUAAGCGGAGGAAAAGAAACUAACAAGGAUUCCCCUAGUAACUGCGAGUGAAGCGGGAAAAGCUCAAAUUUAAAAUCUGGUGGUCUUUGGCCAUCCGAGUUGUAAUUUAGAGAAGCGUCUUCCGCGCUGGACCUG
rnacentral:rRNA from 1 species